GACAGUGAAGAAGACCUGGUAGCUGCUUGGCUGCUAACCAAAAGGUUGGUGGUUCGAGCCCACCCAGUGUCU
rnacentral:tRNA from 1 species